UACGGAGGGUGCAAGCGUUAAUCGGAAUUACUGGGCGUAAAGCGCACGCAGGCGGUUGAUUGAGUCAGAUGUGAAAUCCCCGGGCUUAACCCGGGAAUUGCAUCUGAUACUGGUCAGCUAGAGUCUUGUAGAGGGGGGGUAGAAUUCCAUGUGUAGCGGUGAAAUGCGUAGAGAUGUGGAGGAAUACCGGUGGCGAAGGCGGCCCCCUGGACAAAGACUGACGCUCAGGCGCGAAAGCGUGGGGAGCAAACAGG
rnacentral:rRNA from 1 species